GAUGAACGCUGACAGCAUGCUUAACACAUGCAAGUCAACUGUGGCGGACGGGUGAGUAACGCGUAAAGAACUUGCCUCACGGAUAGGGACAUCACCUGGAAACGAAUGCUAAUACCUGAUAAUGUGGGAGGGCUUUGCGUCCCAUUAGCUAGUUGGAGAGGUAACGGCUCACCAAGGCGUUGAUGGGUAGCCGGCCUGAGAGGGUGAUCGGCCACAAGGGGACUGAGACACGGCCAUGACACCUCCGGGAGGAAGCAGUAGAGGAUAAUGGACAAAGGACCAAAGUCUAAUCCAGCAGUUCUGUGUGCACGAUGAGGUUUUCGGAAUGUAAAGUGCCUUCAGAAGGGAAACGGUACCGGCAGAAGAAGUGACGGCUAAAUACGUGCCAGCAGCCGCGGUAAUAC
rnacentral:rRNA from 1 species